CGUGCGUCAGGUUAAAGGCAGUCCCACACUGGCCCCACGCUGGUCACAUGCCAUGUGGCGCUUCAGCGGUCGGCGGGGACUCUGCGCUGUACAGCGGCUGAGCUGCGGCAGGGUACACCACAGAGUAUGGAGGGAGAAGAGUGACCAAGCCUGUGAACGAGCUCUACAGUAUAAAGUGGGAGAGAAAAUCCACGGGUUCACUGUAAACCAGGUCACUCCUGUCCCCGAGCUGUUCCUGACAGCCGUGAAGCUCAGCCAUGACAACACGGGAGCCAGAUACCUGCACCUGGCAAGGGAAGACAAGAACAACUUAUUCAGUGUGCAGUUCCGCACAACCCCAAUGGAUAGCACUGGGGUCCCACAUGUUCUCGAGCAUACGGUCCUGUGCGGCUCUCAGAAGUACCCGUGCAGAGAUCCUUUCUUCAAAAUGCUCAACAGGUCACUGUCCACAUUUAUGAAUGCCAUGACAGCCAGCGAUUACACGAUAUAUCCGUUUUCCACUCAAAAUCCCAAAGAUUUUCAGAACCUCCUCUCCGUGUAUUUGGAUGCAACUUUCUUCCCCUGCUUGAGGGAACUGGACUUCUGGCAGGAAGGAUGGCGUCUGGAGCAUGAGAAUCCCCGAGACCCUCAGACGCCCUUGAUCUUUAAGGGGGUCGUCUUCAACGAGAUGAAAGGGGCAUUUACAGACAAUGAGAGGAUAUUCUCCCAGCACCUGCAGAACAAGCUGCUUCCUGACCACACCUACUCCGUGGUUUCUGGAGGGGACCCACUGUGCAUCCCGGAGCUCACGUGGGAACAGCUGAAACAGUUCCACGCUACUCAUUAUCACCCAAGCAAUGCCAGGUUCUUCACUUAUGGCAAUUUUCAGCUGGAAGGACACCUGAAACAAAUUCACGAAGAAGCCCUGAGUAAAUUCCAGAGAUUGGAGCAGAGUACAGCAGUGCCUGCCCAGCCGCACUGGGAUAAGCCUAGGGAAUUCCAUAUAACAUGUGGCCCAGAUUCACUAGCUACGGAGACUGCCAAGCAGACAACUGUCAGCGUUAGCUUCCUCUUACCGGAUAUCACUGACACAUUUGAAGCCUUCACCUUGAGCCUUCUGUCCUCCCUCCUGAUUGCUGGACCCAACUCCCCCUUCUACAAAGCUUUGAUCGAGUCUGGACUCGGCACAGACUUUUCUCCUGAUGUUGGAUAUAAUGGCUAUACACGGGAGGCUUACUUCAGUGUCGGGCUCCAAGGGAUCGCAGAGAAAGAUGUCAAGACGGUCAGAGAGCUCGUAGACAGGACAAUCGAAGAAGUUAUAGAGAAAGGAUUUGAAGAUGAUCGGAUUGAAGCUCUGCUUCAUAAAAUCGAAAUUCAAACGAAGCAUCAGUCAGCCAGCUUUGGCCUGACCCUGACGUCAUAUAUAGCUUCUUGCUGGAACCAUGAUGGGGACCCUGUGGAGCUCCUGCAGAUUGGAAGUCAGCUGACUAGAUUUAGGAAGUGCCUUAAGGAAAAUCCAAAAUUUUUACAAGAAAAAGUAGAACAAUAUUUUAAGAACAAUCAGCACAAGCUGACUUUAUCCAUGAAGCCAGACGACAAGUAUUAUGAAAAGCAAACUCAGAUGGAGACAGAAAAGCUGGAGCAAAAGGUGAAUUCUCUCUCCCCGGCGGACAAGCAGCAGAUCUACGAGAAAGGUUUAGAACUACAGACGCAGCAAAGUAAACAUCAAGACGCCUCCUGCCUCCCAGCAUUGAAAGUCUCGGACAUUGAGCCCUCCAUGCCUUUCACCAAGCUUGACAUCGGCCUUGCAGCUGGAGACAUCCCUGUGCAGUACUGCCCACAGCCCACCAACGGCAUGGUGUAUUUCCGAGCCUUUUCCAGUUUAAACACGCUGCCGGAGGACCUGAGGCCCAUUGUGCCUCUCUUUUGCAGCGUGCUGACCAAGCUGGGUUGUGGCAUCCUUAACUACAGAGAGCAAGCCCAACAGAUUGAGCUCAAGACAGGAGGCAUGAGUGUCACGCCCCAUGUGCUCCCUGACGACUCACAGCUGGAUACCUACGAGCAGGGUGUGUUAUUUUCAUCUCUCUGCCUGGAGCGGAACCUGCCAGACAUGAUGCAUCUGUGGAGCGAAAUAUUUAACAAUCCAUGCUUUGAAGAAGAAGAACACUUCAAAGUGUUGGUGAAGAUGACCGCUCAGGAGCUCUCCAAUGGAAUUUCAGACUCGGGGCAUCUCUAUGCAGCCCUCAGAGCAAGCAAGACACUGACACCUUCAGGGGACUUGCAGGAGACCUUCAGUGGGAUGGAUCAGGUGAAGGUGAUGAAAAGAAUUGCAGAGAUGACAGACAUCAAGCCCAUCCUGAGAAAACUGCCCCGGAUCAAGAAGUAUCUACUAAACUGUGACAACAUGAGAUGCUCAGUGAAUGCCACCCCUCAGCAGAUGCCUCAGGCAGAAAAAGAGGUGGAAAACUUCCUUAGAAAUGUUGGCCGAAGCAAAAAGGAACGGAAGCCUGUCCGCCCGCAUAUUGUCGAGAAACCCACACCCAGUGGCCCCAGUGGAGCUGCACAUGUCAGUGGGUCCCAGAUCGUCAGAAAAUUGGUGACAUGUCCUCGUACGUCAAGUUCUGCUCUCAGGAGUGCCUCCCUAGUGACACCCAUGGAGAAGGAGAUGCUGGAGUGGUGCCGCCUGCUUUUACUACCUGAGGGCCACCUUGGGCUGUACAUCCUAGUCUGACCCAUAGGCCUCUGCCCUGUAGGACCCCACCUUCAAACCCUGCCAGAUGAAGACACAUUUUGUGCUGCCCUUCCCUGUGAAUUACAUUGGCGAGUGUGUCAGGACUGUCCCGUAUGCUGAUCCAGACCAUGCCAGCCUUAAGAUCCUUGCCCGUCUAAUGACAGCUAAAUUCUUGCAUACGGAAAUUCGAGAGAAGGGGGGUGCUUAUGGUGGCGGUGCUAAACUCACCCACAGUGGGAUUUUCACGCUUUACUCUUACAGGGAUCCCAAUUCCAUAGAAACACUCCAGUCUUUUGGGAAAGCUGUAGACUGGGCUAAGUCUGGAAAGUUCACACAGCAGGACAUUGAUGAAGCCAAGCUGUCUGUUUUCUCUACUGUGGAUUCUCCUGUUGCUCCAUCCGAUAAAGGAAUGGACCACUUCUUGUAUGGCCUCUCCGAUGAGAUGAAGCAGGCAUACCGAGAACAGCUCUUUGCUGUCAACCACGACAAACUGACCUCUGUGAGCCAUAAAUACCUUGGCAUCGGGAAGAGCACACACGGCCUGGCUAUCCUCGGACCAGAGAACUCAAAAAUUGCCAAAGACCCAUCAUGGAUCAUAAAAUAAUGAGUGCCACAUAUCUUUGAGUAUGUGUAAGAAACCAGAGGCUCUUAACAGCUGAGCCUCUGAGCUAAAUUUAAUGCGGAUGAUCACAAGAGUUACUAGUUUCUUUGUUCGGAAAAUCAGUUAGCCAUAUAAAAACCAACCAAAGGUGUUUAUUGACUGGCAAAAACUCUGAAGGAAAUUCUGAGACCAUGAAGAAAUCAUUAAUCAUGCAUUAAAUGACAGCAGUGAG